AAGUCGUAACAAGGUAACCGUAGGUGAACCUGCGGUUGGAUCAUUACUAAAAAAUUUUGUGUUGCGUGCCUUCUUGGCCGCAGCACACAAAUUUAUCACCCCCUUUGUGAACUGUUUACCGUGUUUUGGCAGCCCUCCAAAAAUGCUUGGGCUCAUAGAUGUCAAAGUCUAUAGCUUUGAGUUUGGGCUGUCAGCAAUUAUAUCCACACCAAUGUUUUAUUAAAAUCAUGUCUCCAAAAGAUUCAUCGAAUCUUUGUUUUUAAAAUAAAAAACAACUUUUGACAACGGAUCUCUUGGCUCUC
rnacentral:misc_RNA from 1 species